CAACGGCGACAGGUGGUGCAUGGUUGUUGUCAGCUCGUGUCGUGAGAUGUUGGGUUAAGUCCUGCAACGAGCGCAACCCUUGAUCUUAGUGGCCAUCAUUUAGUUGGGCACUUUAAGGUGACUGCCGGUGACAAACCGGAGGAAGGUGGGGAUGACGUCAAAUCAUCAUGCCCCUUAUGACCUGGGCUACACACGUGCUACAAUGGACGAUACAAACGGUUGCCAACUCGCGAGAGGGAGCUAAUCCGAUAAAGUCGUUCUCAGUUCGGAUUGUAGGCUGCAACUCGCCUACAUGAAGCCGGAAUCGCUAGUAAUCGCGGAUCAGCAUGCCGCGGUGAAUACGUUCCCGGGCCUUGUACACACCGCCCGUCACACCACGAGAGUUUGUAACACCCGAAGUCGGUGGGGUAACCUUUGGAG
rnacentral:rRNA from 1 species